rnacentral:tRNA from 3 species
GGGCUAUUAGCUCAGUGGUAGAGCGCGCCCCUGAUAAUUGCGUCCAGGAUGGCCCA